GCGCGAGGGGGUCCCCUCCCCCUUCCCCCAGCUAGAGGGGGAAGAGGGCGAGCGAGCGCCAGGCGGCCGAGAGGUGGUAGCCGCUGCAUUGGCAUCGUCGGCGCCUCCACCCGGGUGGGAGCGGGAGUAGAAGGAAGGCGCCUUUGUGUGGCUGCAGUUGUGGCGGUUGUUGUCGUCUGCAGCUCCUGGCUGGGGGAAGGGAGUUGUGGUCAAGGCGGAAAAUCCCCCCUCCCCUUUCCUUCCCCGAACUCGGGACUGCGCGGUCCCCGCCGCUGAGGAAAUGUAGACUGUGCGGAUUGGAGAGAGUAGGAGGAGAAUGGAGGCCAGGUCCUCUUCUUCCUCCUCCUCUUAUUGUGCACAGGGGAUUACCGCGCUCCCGCCUCUGCGCCUCUGCUUCCCACUCCGACGGGCCUCCGCCCCCACUGGUUUGAUUCCUUUGCCUUCCCUGCUUUCAUGCGUCCCGCCCCCAUCCCCGGCCCUGUCCUGGCUGUCUCCGGGCCUUUGUUGUUCGAGUUUCGCCUUAGGACUGAAGGGGCCUUUGUUGAUGUUCCGAGGAGGAAUCCCCGUCGACCCCUUCUAGUUGAGCGAGACGUUCGAGAGGGGGUGGUUGGCGGUGGUUGUCCCCUCAUGCCCGUAAUUGCUUGCUUGGUGCACCAGUUCCGUGGCAAAGCUCGAUCUCCUUAGUGUAGAGGAGUUGUCCCUGUACAUCUAUCUCAGAUUGCAGGUCCCUUUGGGGCGGGUUUUCCAGAGUCCUUUUCUCAUUUGCUUUCACCCUUCGAGGAGUAUGAUUUCCACUAUCCUUUCUCUCCCUAUUACCGCCUCACCCCUGUUUCUUGGGGUAGUCCCUAUUUGGCUUCCUGAUGAAGUGGGAGAAGACUGAGGUUCCUGUGAAUCUGUGCGUUGGGUAGUUUCAGAUCUUUUCUUUGCUUGCCCAAGGACACUGCUUACCAGUGACUGCAUUCUAACCAGAAUUUGGAAUGUUCUACUAACACUACUAAUAAUGAAAAUCGUUUCAUCCAUGACGAGAAUCGGAGAGUUUGGGUCUACAUUUGGACUUCAUUACGAGCCCUACAGUUGGGUUUGAAAUUUCAAGGUGGUGGCGUUGGCUGUGGUGAAGAUUUUGGUUGGAUUGUCUUGAGGAGGAAAAAGACAAUUUAUGCAGGUCAUAUUUAGAGUUAACUUGUGAGUGUAUCAUUACAGAGAAUUCGUUUGGAAAAAUAUUGACCUUAAUGUAGAACAAUGGUUGACCGUUUUAGCAGAGCAGAUUACAUUUUCACUUAUUAUUUAGCCUCCAAAUUGAAGUCUUGUCUUUAUAAUGUCGGGGAUACGUGAUCACAUACAAAACCUCUCUUGCUGUAUGCACUUUAUUGUCACAAAUUAUUUGAUGGCUGUUCAUAAUCUUAAAAACAAAAACUGUGAGAUCAAGUGGUGACUUGUCUAGGACGAUGUGCAAUGUGAAAGCUCCCCACUUACGUCUGGUGAAUACCUGUGGCAAAUUAGAGUCUUAUUCCUUUGAAUUCCAAUAUUAAAAAAAAAAUUGUUGGAAUUUCUCAGUUUCUCUGCUUUGCAUUGCCCACUCAUUCUUAAUUGGCCUUUAAAGUUUUAUUUUAGAGAUUAAAAAAAUUCUGUAAGAUACCCAUAAUACGAAGUCUUUCAAUUGUAAGUGGAGUAAGUAUAUAAUACUCAGUGAAAAGUAUUAAAGUCUAGCUUUGCUGAAAGACAUUUUCCCCCUAAUAGUGCCCACUGAUAGUUUUAAAGCUAAUUACUUAAAUUCUCUUUGUCAGCAGCAUUUAUAAGCAAGGAUUAAUAAUUCUGGGAAAGUAAAAUCUCAUGCAAGCUAGGCUCCGCCCCCCGCCCCCGCCGCCUUUUUGUACAUGUGUGACGUUGUAAAGUUAUCACUUAAAGUUAUUUAAUUUAUUUGUUUAUUUUGAGAGACAGAGUCUUGCUCUGUCACCCAGGCUGGAGUGCAGUGGUGUAAUCACGGCUCACUGCAACCUAGUCUCUUGGGAUCAAGAGAUUCUCCUGCCUCAGCUUCCCAAGUAGCUGGGACAACAGGCAUGAGCCACCACGCCUAGAUAAUUUUUGUAUUUUUAGUAGAAAUGGGGUUUGAGGUUUCCCUGUGUGUUGGCCGGGCUCGUCUGGAAUUCCUGACCUCAAGUGAUCCAUCCACGUCUGCCUUCCGAAGUGCUGGGAUUACAGGUGUGAGCCACCACAGCUGGCCACUUUUACAUUUCUUAAAGUGAAUGCUGGAAACUCAACAUUAUAUCCCCAGAACCCAAUUUGAGAGCUACUGAUGCAUAGGAAAGAAUCAUUUAAGCAUGAACCCCAGUGCUCUCCCUCUUCCAUUGGUUUACUUUUUUCAGCUUUACUUUCUGUUAUUCUACAGGAACUUUCUGCUCCAUCUAAAUUGAUUGAUUACUGACAAGCAUACCUGUUCAUUUUACUGCCUUUGUGACUGCUUUGAUAACUAAAUGGCUUUGAGUUCGACUAUGAGCUCCCCCACAGUUUGAGAGAAUUGUUUAGCUCUGUAAGUCAUGCUUUCUUUGAGAAAAUAAGGCUGAGGUAACGGAUGAUAAAUACCUAUCCACAGAGGGCAGUAGGAGACACUGGGUAGACAUCAUAAACCAGUAGUUUUUGAGUCAUUCUCCUCAAAUCUACUUGUACCUUACAGCCCAGAAUGAUCACUCAUUUUCUAAGUAUACCCUUCUGUGGUCUGCACUUGCUUUGAGAUUUACUUCUGACUUCUGUCAUUGACUGUGUUAUGUUUCUUAUGUAGCAUGGAUUUUUCAGUGUGAUUUAUUUUCAGUGUUUGAAAAUUUUUUUCAAGCUUCAUCAAUUUUUGGUUAGGAAAAUAUACAUGAGUCAUAAAUAUGUAUGCACCGGUUGUCUUGUUUCGAUAUUGCAUGCUCUAUGUCCUUAGUAGAUUUUGGAUUCCUUCAUUGUACUUAACAAUGCUUUGAUUUAGUAAGUUCUCUGUAUUUGUUUGAGAUUCUUUUCUAGAGCUUUAUUAGUCCUCAAAUAUUAACACUUUAGAGUUUUGAUUUGCCCAAGGCCCCAGAGUUAAGAUAUGGUUAGAAUCCACGUUCAAAUUAAAUACAUUUUGCUGCCUGUGUCUCCUGUGUUCUAUUGUUAAACAGUUACUUGACUCUUUUCCUAAAAUAGGGUUUACUGUUUUAUUGUAGUAGUGUUAAAAAAAAAAAAAAGUAUCUUAAAGUAAAAGUACUACUAUUUUUUUCUGUAAACUAGGAAGUGAACUGAGGAAGCAGGAAAAAUCAUUUGUUAUUUAUUCCAUUAGCAGUUACUUGGUGCUUAAUUUGUGGCAGACACUGCACUAUCGGUAUAGGAAAAAUUAGCUCUCACUUCAGCAAAAAAUUUGCAAAAGUUAAACUUCUGAAGGCAAUUCUGAAAUCUUUUUUCCCUCAGUGCAUUUUGUUUUCAGUUAAAGUAAAACUGACUCUUAAAUCUUCUGUUUUAGGCUGAGCAAAGUGGCUCAUGCCUGUAAUCCUAGCACUUUGGGAGGCCAAGACAGAUGGAUCACCUGAGGUCAGGAGUUUGAGACCAGCCUGACCAACAUGGUGGAACCCAGUCUCUACUAAAAAUACAAAAAUUAUUUGGGCUUGGUAGCGCAUGCCUGUAAUCCCAGCUAUUUGGGAUGCUGAGGCAGGAGAAUAACUUGAACCCGAGAGGCAGAGAUAGCAAUAAGCCAAGAUCACGCCAUUGCACUCCCGCUUGAGCAACGAGUGAAGUGAAACUCUGUCUCAAAAAAAAAAAAAAAACCACCUUCUGUUUUAAUGACAUCCUUGCCAUUUGUACAUUUAGUUUUCCUGUAAUACUUAUGAGAUUAGGAGAUUGAGAAGAGCUAUGUUUGUUAGAUAUAUUUUGCUGCUCUUGAUGUGAUUGAGAGAAUAAUUUGAACUAAGAUUGUAUAGGAAUUCUCGGCCGAUUCAGAAAAUGCCACCUAACUGGCAUUCAGAAUUAAAGCAAGUGAUUAUCCAGAGUGUAGUCCUUUACUUACUUACAAUCUUUACCCGUAAAGGUGGCACCAAAAGGACUCUUAGUGAAGCUUCUACAUUGUCUUUGGCCGCAGGCACCCACCCUCACUCAGACUGUCAUUGUCCACAAUCAGUAAUGCUGUUUUACUUGCAAGUUAGGAAAUUCAGUUACCAGCUUUCCACAAUCUGCAAAUGAGCCAAACCUUGGAAUUAGAAGUAAGACCAACCAGAUUGAAGAGAAAGGGAGUCAGUAUUCAGAGCAGGCAAUGUUAGAUGCUUUACUAAUGAUACACUGUUUAAUCUGAAGAUCUAUGAAAUCAUAGGGUUCAAGAACCAUUUAGUUUAAGUGUCCAAGUUAAUUCAAAUUGCCUUCCAGGACCUCAUCAUUACUAUAUAAUACGUGUUCAGUAUGACCCAGUAUCAU